rnacentral:rRNA from 1 species
AUUGAACGCUGGCGGCAGGCUUAACACAUGCAAGUCGAGCGGGGGAAGGUAGCUUGCUACUGGACCUAGCGGCGGACGGGUGAGUAAUGCUUAGGAAUCUGCCUAUUAGUGGGGGACAACAUCUCGAAAGGGAUGCUAAUACCGCAUCCGUCCUACGGGAGAAAGCAGGGGAUCUUCGGACCUUGCGCUAAUAGAUGAGCCUAAGUCGGAUUAGCUAGUUGGUGGGGUAAAGGCCUACCAAGGCGACGAUCUGUAGCGGGUCUGAGAGGAUGAUCCGCCACUCUGGGACUGAGACACGGCCCAGACUCCUACGGGAGGCAGCAGUGGGGAAUAUUGGACAAUGGGGGGAACCCUGAUCCAGCCAUGCCGCGUGUGUGAAGAAGGCCUUAUGGUUGUAAAGCACUUUAAGCGAGGAGGAGGCUACUUUAGUUAAUACCUAGAGAUAGUGGACGUUACUCGCAGAAUAAGCACCGGCUAACUCUGUGCCAGCAGCCGCCGUAA